CGCCGAUCGCUCGGCUCAGACCCUUUUCGAGACAUCCCAGGCACCAGGAUGCUUUUGGACCCGCUUGCAAGGAAUGAACCCGCCGCGGAGCCGAGCCCCCCGCUCCCACCCCUCGCGCCCGGCCGCGCGCGGUCCCUGCGGCGCGCCGCCCCUCCGACUUUCUCCCUGCGGAAAACGCGCUCCCCGGUUCCCGCUGUACCUUCGGCAGCAGCCUGACAGCUUAAAGACCACCUCGACAGCGGCUCUGAUCCACCCACCGAGAGCCUCGCGGCGCAUUAUCCCGGUUGAAACGGGGAUGCUGGCUGGUUUGCUGGUGAAUUGGAGGCUGUUGCUGGGAGCCCCGGCCAGGUAAUUCAGUGCAAUUGGAGCUGAUUAAUCUGGCUCGUCGUUCAAGACAAAGCCGUGGCCUUCCUCGGGCUUCUAAUCGUGCCGAGUGUUGAGUGAAGUCGUCAGGAAGGUAAGAUCUAAUUGAGAGGCUGAGGGGAAGGAGAGGUUAGAGGUCCACGGCUGGCUGGCCAGAGCCACGUGGGUGCUUGGCAAUAUCAUAUUUUUGGGUGUUAUUCCCACACAAAGAGAAAAGCUGCUGCCCCAUGACACCCCUCCUGUGCCUGGCUCCGCGCUCGUUAUGCGUUAAGGGCAGGAGAGGUGGCUCAGGGAGAUGUUUGGGGAGGCAGAUGCUCUGGUCACCCUGCUCCUCACCCUCUUUCUGGGUGGCAGCAAGGAGGUCCGGAGCAUGUCCACCUGCUGCCACAGCAGGUUCGAGCUACCACCUCCAGCGCAACAGGUAGAGGAGAGGGGACCAUCCUGACUCGCAGAGUGGGAAGAGAAAUAUCCCUGCGAGGGCACACGUGGGCCGUUCAGAGCGGUCACAGCGUGGGACUGCGUCCGUGGGGUGCCUCGGGGCUGGGGUGUCCGUGGGGCGGCAGGCGGGAGCACCGCGCCGGCUGAGCGGAGGCAGAUAGAGACGCGUCCGGAGUGAGUCACCCCGAAGGGAAGUGGAGUGUGAGCUGUCUGCGGAGAUGAUAACAGCGCGGUGGGGCGGGAAGCGUGUUUAUUUUACAAGCUCUGCGGUGGAGGAGAUGAGUGUUGAUGGACAGAGUUUGGAAGCGGCCGCUCACCAGGGAAGGGGGGUCCCGUGGCCUUUUGAAGGAUGCCCAGGCAACACUGCUCCGUCAUUACCUGCAACUUGCUUCCUGCAAAUUAGGUGCUUUUGGCCCUAUAUUCAGAAAAUGCCAUGUUGCUGGAGCGGCAGCUUUAAAGCAUAGCUUAUUUAGGAGAGAGAAAGGCCCGGAUCCAGCAAAGCAUUUAAGGAGGUGCCAGGUUUUCUGGCCUUGUGCAUUGGUCCAGCGGGACAUUUCCUUUGCUGCCCUCUCAGGACAGCAGCCGUGGGAUGAUGAGCCCUUGUCACCUCCAGCGUGGCUUGGAGCUCGUGUCUCCUGGCCAUGCAGGGCAGUGCUGCUAAUUGUGGUGCACAUGCUACUUUAAUCAAAACAUCAAAACCCAGCUAGAUCAGAAAACUCCCUUUGAUGUCUCAGUAUUUCAGCAGAUUGGAAGAUGAAUACAACGCAAGCGAGAAGUGUUUCACAGGCCUGCCCAGGUGCUUCUGUUUCCAAAAGCACGUAGAAAUUGCCGUCACCAUAUCACAGAGGAGGAAAAGGUCCCAGCAGUGACAGCAGGAGAAGGAUUUGCAACCCCAGGACUGAAUCUGUGGCCCAGACGGGAAAGGACAGAGCUCGCGAAGGUGUACUGGAUUUAAGUGAUGUAAAUAAACCUGUGUUAAAGAUGUGCAGGCAGGUAGCACUAUUGCUUGAUUCCUGGAUCUGGCCAUCUGUGAGUCACAGAGGCUGCAGGAGAUAUUUUACAGUUUCUUUUUGACUAUCUGAUGUCCCUGGAGCUUGUCAGACAGGAUUGGAAGUGGGGUAACCUGCAAUCUGGUGGUCUUGGCCACGUGAUGGGGAGAAGAACUGCGAGAAAGACCGAGGCAAAACUCAUGAGCGAAUCAGAGAGUGCGGGGGUUGAUGCUGAAUAGAAAUAAAUUCUGUUUUGAACUUAAUGGAACAUAAAUAUCGGACACUUAGCAACAGUACAUGUAUUAAUCCUGUCUGGGAGAAAGGAGAAGCUGUUCUGAGAGCCUCCAAACCAGAAAACACAGGACAAUUGUACUCCUUUAUAGAAACUUGUGGUUUUUCUGAUGAAAUUUAUUUCAAACUAUCCAAACAUUUCAGGGCUGCUCUGAUGACUGCUCAGAGAAGGGGCUGUAUAGGAGUGCGGUUCACAAACAGAAGCAGCUUUGCAAAGAUGAAAAUUGCUCUGACAAAAGAACUGUGUCCAGCGCAUUAUAAACGGAAAGCGAGCAGUGUUUGCUGUAACCCCUCUUCACCUGGCCGACAGAGAUGUGCUAAAUACAAGAUGAUGGUCGCAAGAAAAUCAUGACUUGUAAAGAUUUUUUUUUUCCAGCUGCAACAGGAAGCCUUUAGCUCUGUGCGGGUUGCAGAGCACUUCAGCGUGCAUGCUCGGGGCGGGCAUUUAUUUGUAGUGAGUUGUCAGAAACCACAGACUCAGGUGUUCAGUCCAAACACAUCUGCCGUGCUGUGCGUGAAAAUCAAGCUGGCGAAUUCACUCCUCUGAGUUUAUUGUCAAAUAUGCCAUUGGAAAGAAGCAGAGUGGCUCCAGAUUUAAGGCCUCUGAUUUUGGAUGUUGCGUGUGUGCAGUGGAUUUGUGAGCGCUGCCCGUGUGGGAAUUUAAGAGCAUCCCUGAGCAGGAUGAAUGCUUUCAAACCGUACUGAUACAAAAAGAGCCAACUUCUGCACCAGCCAAAAGUAUCCCUUUUCACAGGGCUGUGAAUGAAUUGUCCCCUGGCUUGUACUACCUUCAGAGGAGAUUGUAUCAUGGUUCCAGGCUCCGGGGUUUAAAAUAUAUCACAACUGGCUUCCCUGCUCGCCUGGCGCAGUCCAAACCAAACAGCUUGUGUGUAGCGCUCUUGAAACGAAUCUCCAUCUAGGUGCCGGACAACUGGUCAUAAACAGCGGUGCACAUGCAGCAAGCCGACGCCGGAGUGACAGACAGCUACUGCCACCUUUGCCCUACUCACCCGGCACGGGGAGAAAACGAGAUUGUAGGCUGGAUGGACACACAACACCGCGAUCGACUCCUCUUCAGUGCUUAUUAUACCUCCAAGCAUUCAGGAUCACCAAGACUUCACCUCCCAUCGCAGGAGCUGGAGGGGGAAGCCACGCUCAUCUGAGCAGGGGAGGAGGAAGCGUGGCUCCCAGGAUCACAGAGGGUCUUCCAGGCUGGUGAUGGCCAGGAGAAGACUUGUAGAAACAUUGCCCAGAAACCUAAGGAUGCCCUGAGCUGUAAAGAGCCCUCCAGAUGCCACAAAACCAGUUGUGGAGGGGACAGUGGCUGUGGUUCUCCUGCAAGGUGCAGGUGAUCUGAAGGGAAGAGGUGGCCAGCCCUGGCCGACAUUCCCUGGCCACUUUUUCUUACUCGUGUGGACAUAGCCUGUUUGAAGAUGCCAACCCCGAGGUGGGAAGGAGUAGAUAAAAAUCAGAGAACGGAGAAGAGCUGACUAGGAUAUUGGUCUACUGACAGCAAGUAAAAUGCUGCUGGAGAAAAUCCUCUAAAUUCCAGGCAACAAGAAAAACUGGGCCCUAGAGCCCCGGGAGAGAACCUAUAAGCUUCUUUCCAGGGCAAGGGCAGAGGCAAGUGAGAUUUUCUGUGCCAGUUGAGAAGUCCAGAGACCAGGUUCUGCGCUGGAUCUCACCCAAGGCAUCUGGCUUUUCCAUGCAUAAAUUCCCCAUUCCCCACUUUGGCAGUGAGACCGUUGAGUUGCCUUUGCAAAGCUCUUUGAAGGUAUCAGUAAGGAACAGUUUCUUCUGUCUUUGGCUAUGUCAGGCAGGUGACAGGACAUCGGCCUUGCGGUGCAGUGUGGCUGUGUUUGGAGGACAUCAACCUGUCUUCCCAUGUCCCUGCGUGGGGUAUGUUUUAAGCAAGGACAACGUUUCCCCUCUGCAUCCAUCUCCAGGAGGUUCCAAUGCUACAGUUUGUGCUGAACCAUCUCUUUUAUUGGCUUAAGGUACAAUCCACAUCCACGAAGUGGAGGCAACAGGAAGGUGACAUAUAAGCAGCUGGCCAACAUCUUCUGGAGAGCUGGUCCUUUGCUUGAUGGUCUCCCUCAGAUGCACAUGGAGCAAAGCGUUGGCUGUUGCUCUACGAUUUCUUUGUGCUCCCAGCUGACGACAGUGCAUGAGCAGGGCAUUGACUCCUGGCUGAAGUAAGAUGCAGGACUAGGCUUUGGAAAAUAGCCAGGGGACACGUUCCUGCACUCGGACCAGCUUUGAGUCCACCGUUUUGCCCAAGUGCAAUCAGUAAUUGAAUGCAAUUCCAUGUCCAAAACCUUGUUUCUCCUGAAACACGUCGGAAAUGAACCUCACACAGCAAUGUUGGGCUGUUUGGGGCUCUUGGACUUCUUUUUCUCUUGUGAGUGGGAAACCUUGUAUUUUAAGUAAUGUUCUUUUCAGAAAUGACUAAUUAAACAACAGAACAGGAAAUGUAAGAGACAGUAAAAUCCCCUCAGCUGUCCAGUGCAUUUCUACGUAAAUAUGAUGGUGAAAAGAUGAAAACAAAACCUUUCAGAGACAAAGACAAGUGAGAGACCUGGUGACGCAGCAAUGAAAAAUCUACACUUUGUUAUAACAAAGCGAAACCACUGUGUUUAUUCUCUGUCUUGGAGGAUUUGGUGCAAUUAUUAGGUGGGGGGAAGCCACAUAGAAAUCAGAAUAGUCCAGAUUUUUGCUAAAAUAUUUGUACAAAUCAGGUUAUUCAACUACAGCAAAGGAGGCCAUUGCUUCUGAAAUUAUCCUGCAAAACUGGAAGGACCGUAAAUGCUUGGCUUUAACAGCUAGCUACAUACAAUGCAAACCUAAUCAGUGAAGCUUGAAACGUUUGUGGCAGGGAAGAAAGGCAGAGUUUUAUGGCUCUUUCUAGUGGAGGUGUGCGGAAGACUGGGUGAUAAAGCUGCCUAAUGCACAUGGAGAAAUGCAACCACCGAACUCCCAUCUGCUGAAGCCACUUUGUGGUCAGAGGCAACAGGGUAAAUUUUCCUGGUAAAUUAUAUCAGCUGCUUUUACCUGAGCUGUGAAGGCAGGGAGGAACUGUAACACGGAGGCCUCAUCGCAUCCAACCUCCCCGGGCGUGCUAGGGUGGCCUCCUCUAACUCCAGCCCCCGGCUGCAGGGCUGUGGGGCAGGGACCCAGCAGAAACAAUCCCAGCAAUCUGGGGAAGAAAUGGGGUCACACCAUCUAAGUUUCGGUUUUGCCUCCAGCAAAGGCUAAAAAUGUUCCACAUCACUUAGAGGUGUCAGAUUGUUUAGCCGUAGGCUGGGAAUGGCCCUCCGAACAUCUCAGUUACAUGUUACUCUGAAUAUCUCAGCAAACGACUUGCAGCUAAUUGAAAUAAAGAAAACACAGUGGCUUGGUUUACGCGAAAGACUGUAUAUAGCAAUGCAUCCACUGCAUUUUGCAUUGAUCAUAAAUCAAGAUUUAUUAUCCCACCUGGCAAAUAUUGACUUCAGCGCUUCUUUCUCACAUCAAUAUAGCAGUGUUCAUCGCAACUAAAGUCAAUCGUUUCUUAUUAACAUUUCAGCUCUAGAAGUGCGGAGCCUCUGAAUCAUCUUAGAUAUGUGCCCCAGAAUCCCAAAUCCUCCGGUCAGGGGUUUUUGACUUGCUUUGGUUUGCGGAGCCUGAAUUUUUUUCCCGUGGCAAUGUAGCUCCUUCUAAAGCAAUUUAACUGUACUGAUAACAGGCUUCAGGUUGAUGAGUUACUUUCAUUGGACCCUGCAUAAGUAGGGAUUUGUGGAUCAGAGGUUCAAAAGUGCAGAUUCAAGAGAUACAUGACAGACUGUCUCUUGGAUCACUUAGCAUACUGAAUGAAAGGGGUUCCUGAGUCAUCGGACAGAUGUGCUCCAGAAAACUUCUUAACAGCUGUCACCAAGAAUGGGAAUGUUGAAGGGAACAAGAGGCUGUGGGUACUUGGGGAACUCGCAUAUGUUUGACCUAUGAAUUCAGCUCAAAGUUGGGAAAAACAUGUAAGUCAGAGGAUGUGAAGUCACUCACACUCUGACAGUGUGUGCGUCCACUGCCUGUCCCCACCCCGCGGGCAGUGUGGGGUGGUUAAACCUUGGAGAUUGCCGUCUGUAGCAAAGUGCCUCGGCAAAACAGGGUGGCUGAAGCCCCGGUGCCCGGCCAGAGCAGGGGUCUCUAGCACUGGAAUUUCUCCAGAGCAGAACAAAGAGAUAGGUCUUAAAUACCACCGAGCCAGAGCGACUGGGGGAAACGCAGAGGGGCUCAGACACAGGAAAUUUGGGGAGGAGACAGGAUCAGAAAGGCACGUGUUCAUGGUCUCACUCAGGUUAAUGGGAAAGAAUGAAAUGGCUGCAUGAAAGAGAGAAGAAACUCCGCAUGUUUGGAGGACAACCCUUGGGCAAGUGGAAGGAGCCAGGACUCCUUGCAGAAGGUUGAAUAACAAGUGGAGAGGAGAGUAAAAUGAUAGUCAGUGUUGUCCAUAUCUCCGUGUUUCGCGUGCAGGUGGUGUCAGUACUGAAGCUCUUGCAAAACCACGUCAUAUUGUGGUAAUUCGUAGGAUGCACCAUCCCCAAAAGACACCCCGCACACUGUGGGGUGCUCGCCCAUAUAAGUCUGUCACAGCUCUGCGGGCUUGCAGAAAGGCUUGGACAUGUCUCACUUAACUGUAGCCACCUGCAAAGUGGGUAUCAGCAGUAAGCUAAGUGGCCAGGCUCCUUGGUCUGUGGAGAAAUGCUGGCUUCUCCAGGAGUUCAGGCCCUCUCUCCCCAGGCAUUCGUUCUUGCAGAACCCCUGGAAGUGCUUGGCAAAGCUGUAGAGGGGCCCACUUAAGUGGUGAAGACUGGACUUUUUUGGACAAGUGCGAUUGGGUAAGAUGAAUUCAUCCCUGUGAGCCCAUGUGGAGAAGACGUUCGUGAACUGCUUGCUGAUUUGAGGCAUUUCCCUUGAGCAUAUCUCAAGCAUAACUAUGGAAGAAAUUCAAGCUACCAAAGCCCACAGCGUUGCUGCCGCAGAUGCCAAAAUUCAGAAGUGCAGCCCCCAGUUGCAGCAGGAGAUUCAGUAGGCUCAAAGGAUUCCCAGUUGUAAGGACUCACAUUGAUAUAUGGGUCAUCUUCCAUCCUAAAAGCACUGUACAAAGUGACAGGCUUCAUACAGCCCCAAAAUGCUGCAUGAUCAGGAAAUGACUUGGUUUAUAUCUGGCAUUGAGGAAAAGCCAAAGGGAAGAUGUUUAACCAUCUCUCUGGAUUUCUACCAAGCCAAGAUGAGCAGCACAGAGUGUUGGUCAGUGUGCUUAUAGUCAGGCCUGAAAUGAGUAGAAAAAUGGUCAAAAGUUUUCAUUUUCUUUUUUUUUUCCCUUCUAAAGUGCUUUUUUUUUUGUCAAGCUUGAUAGGAACAAUUUAUUUCUGAUUGUUCUUUUUCUGUUUCAGAUUACUGAUUUUUGUUGCUUGGGAAAAUUCCUAGUUUUAAAGAGAAUUAGUAAAUAUUUAGAGCUCUGGUUCCAAGUAGCUCCUAUUGAGAGGAGCAUCACAGGGAAUGCUACCACAGCCUGCAUUACUCACAGCACCUUUUCAGUGGAUACUCUGAUGCAAACUGUGCAGGGGCUUCUAGUUUGGGGACUUUGAUUUAAAAGGAAAUGUUGAAGAAAAUGAAAUCUCUCCUAUUGCUAUCCCAGAUUUCUCCCAGCCUGGGUUUGUAUCCAGAGCUGAAUCCAGACAGAAGAUCUUUAAUGGUUCUCAGUACUUGCUGCAUGUGGAUCUAGGGGGUCAUAUACAGCUCACUGAGUUUUGUCUCAGGGUGUUUGUAUGAAGUAAGUCAAAUGCUCUCUUAAUUAGCUAAUGAAUGGCAAAUUUUAUUAUGUGAUCAAGCUCUGCUAACACUUUUUCUCUCAGUGCUAAUGGGAUGUCACAUAAUGGAAUAGGCCACAGUGCCCUCUACACAUGUCCAAUUUCUAUUACAUAUUGAAACAUACUUUGGUGAGAAGCAUUUUUAAGAAUAUGGGUCAAUCCCAGGGUGUUCAGCAGGUUCUCAUGGUGUUCGAUUAUCUCUUAGAGCUCUUACGUCACCUGCUUUAGCGCUAUUUCAAAAUCAAAAGUGGGUCUGUCCUCACAUCGAAUGAAAGUGGUUCUGCUCUCAUGAACAAACUAGGGCAGUCUGCAUUGCUUACUCUACCAGUAUAUAGCGAAACACGAUGCUGUGAAACAGUUAAGGCUGUUUAAGAGCAUCAGCUGGCAAAACAAACAUUAAAUAUUUAGGAAAGCAACAACAGCCAUGUCCCAUGGCACACAAAUGCAGCUAAUAGGGAGCCACCUGCUUUGGCCUGAUCUGCAGUGUUUCUGGAAUAAACACAAUCUUUGGACAUAAAUGCAAUGCAGAAACAAACAUUAAUCCUGCCCUGUGGUGAUGCUGUGAAUGGAAAGGGGGAACAUGAAAUUACCAAAAUCAUUAAGGAAGUCCAAGUUAACAGCGAUGUGGAGAACCUUGUUGUGGUGCAAAGAUGCCUUGCUUCCUACACAGCCUGGUUGGCCAUAACUCAUCUGCUGGAAGUGAACACCAUCUCCUCCUCCCAGCCCUUUCAAGAAACUCCCUUCACUGGUACCUGUGACUUGCUGUAACAUUGUCCUCCCAGUUGGCCAAGGCAUCCUCCAGCCCUUCUUAGUCCAGCUUCUUGGGAAGUUCAGGGGACCAGGAACAUCCUGUUUGCCUUUAUGGACCAACCCUUUCCUACAGCAAAACCUUGCCCUGCUAAGACUGAUGGAGGUUGACAUUUGGUAUGUGACGGCAGCACCGCUUUCUCUUGGAGGGCCACCUCAUGCAUCAUGGACUAGCUCCUGCUUCCACCCGGCGUGGGACCAUUGAGGAAUUUCCGAAGCCUGAAUUCAUGGCGACCACACCAAGGGUGAACGCGUCCAGUUCUGAGUGGCCAGAAGGUGCCAGGAACCCUCUGUGCCCCCAUCGGAGGAUAGGGAGCAGGUCUGCGUCCCGCUGAGACAGGCAAGGCUUAGGCCAGCUAUUUGUGGGAAAAGAGCUCUGUAUGGUGGUCACUGGAAACUGCUUUCUGGGAAGACAGAGUGGCCUUCACCCUUCAUCCCCAAGAAACGUGCCUGGCUGUUCACAGUGUCCCAUGCCUCUUCUGUGACCUGUCACCACCUCUCAGCACCGGGGAGCCCUGAGGACGCGACGCAGCCGUGCAAAAAGCACCCACGGUGCCACGGCUCCUGCUACGCGUGAGCCGGACUGAGCACGCCUGUUUGCCCUUGCUGACGGAGAGCGAAACCCUGCACGCGCGUGGGCGGAGGAGGAAUGUCCAGCACGUCUGCCUGUGGGACGGCGAGCGCGCCAGGAGCUCUGUGGCUCUGGAAAAAACCACAGGUGUUUGUAGCCUGGACCGAGCCUCACCUGGACCAAAUAUCAGCUGCAGGUUAAAUCUGAGCAAAAAGCCAGGAGAAGGCCUGAAAAGAGAGCUGGGAAAACAGACAUCAGCCAGUGUCCACCAAAGACAGAGACCAAGAAUGUUCCAGCCAAACCACCAAAGUGCCGGCCAAGGUGCCGGGAGGAGGCCGGGCCGGAGGUGGGGUGAGAUGCCCCUGCUCUCUCUUGGGUGGCAGGACAAAUGCUGGACCGUGCAUCCUGGCCUCUGAGGAAACAGGGAAACAACCCUUUGGUAGGAGGAGAGUGAAAUCCCUUGAAAUCUGCUGUGUUUUCCGCAUUUCCUUCAAGGUCUUGUCCCCGUGCCGUGCUCUGCAACCCAGCCCACGUGCUCCUGGGGGCAACGGAUGAAGUAUUUAUUGGUGUCCAACCCACUCAGCCCGACUACGUACCGUUUCUUGACUUGGAUACGAGAGGCACCCAGAAUAAAUCAUCUCAGCUCCGUGUCAAACUUGGUCCUGAGGCUGCUGUCAAAACCUGGCUGGGGCUGCAAAGAGCAACCGCACUGUGUAUUGAAAUCGUCUUAAGUUGUUCCCAGUGAAAGGAGGAGCACACAGAGCCCUCGCAGGAUGGUGGGACCUGGCAGCUGCAGCAACCCGUUAUCUCCUGUGCGCGUUGGCCAGCGGUGUGUAGAAGGGCAGACACUCUUCCAGGUUGUUGGCUCUUUGGGACUCUUCAGGGCUGCAAACCUUUCCAGAGAUUAGCUGGGUGCCUCUGAGCCGCUGAAGAGAGAGAUCUGCAUUGUGUAUCCCUACUGCUCCAUCCCUUACUAAGGCAACAAGAAUGCACCAAGAUGCUGAAGAGCAAGUAUGUCCUGCAUUAACUGCAACACUACCAGAUCCAUAGGUGGUGAGGCCCAGGGCAGGGAGAUGGCCUGCCGGCUGGACAGCAUCUUUCACGAGGGACCCUCCUUCCUUGCAUCCCUUUCUGGAGAUGGCAGUAGGGAAAUGAGCAGGGAGGAAGGCUGGGAAGAUAGGACGGGGAGGGACACAGACGGGGUCAGUGUGAGGACACGACGCCGAACAGUUGGGCAGCUGUUGGGAGCAUGAGGCCCAAGUCUGGCUACCGCACUGAGAGGCAUGUGCUGUGUGAAGCUAGCAAAGCAACUUGCGUGGGGACACAGCAGGUUUUAUUCUGCCUGUCCAAGCCGUGCCAUUUAAGCACCAUAGCUGCAUCUGCUGAGCUCCUACAAGCACAACGUGGCUCCACUGUUGUAGCCUGUGGAGUGACCAUGGCCUAAAAAAAGAUUUAACCAGGAGUGAAGAAGACAGAGGAGGUGCUCAGGGACUUGAAAGCUGCCUGAUCAGCAACAGCAGAGGAUGGACAGGGUACACAUGCCUUCUGUGGCCUCCAAGUCCUGCAGCGAUGCCUGAAGGCCUUGAGGUCUUCUCUGCUCUGCCUAGAAAGCCAGCACAAGGAUGCCCCUGGACAGCUAGUGAUGGGGCAAAAAAGCUGUGGUUUGCCUUGCAGUGCCAGACUGCGGCAUCUUUGACAAGUGGUGUAGAGUGAAGUUCACUGGCUGGAUUCACCUGAGCUGAGCUGUUUGCUCAUUGCCCUUCACUUUAGUGGUGAGCCCCAUGCAAGGGACAAUACCCCACCGUCUGUCCAGCCCUGGACAUCUCAAGACGUCCAAAAAGAGGCAUCAGCACUAUUAGGAGGGGAGCAGGCUGCAACGUGAGGAUUCCUCCUCAUCUGAGACACUCCUCCAGGGGCAGGGACGAUGUGGGGACAUUUCAGAAGUGCUGCAAGCUCUUGGUGAUGCUGGGGAGCUGUGUCAACCCUAAAUGAAUCUGCGAAGGCAGUGUCGGGUUGUGGCUGAUUCUAAGUUAAGGAGUCACAUUUUGCACGUCCGGUGGCCGAGGGGCUCUUUGUCUCUUCUCAUCUGGGCUGUUGAAGGCUGCUGAGAUCGGAUUUCCGAGGUGCUCUGGUCGUUCGAUAACGGAGACCCACGUGUGAAGCGGCAGCGUAGUUUUCCUGCUGCCAGCCGUGCUUCACCCAAAGAUAUUGGAUCGGGCUCUGAAGAGAUGGGGGCAUUUUGGACUUGGGCCAUAGCAGCACAUUCAGCUGCAGAUGGUUACAGGAACAGAUAACUGGUCCUGCAGAAAUUCCAGGAAGUCUGAUCACCCUGGAACAUAGAUCCUAUUCACAUCGUCUGUAACCUGAGAGCAGCUCUUCGGAGCUGGGAUUAGCAAAAGUAUUUGGCUUCACCUGCCCUACUCCCAGGGAGCUGGUGGGCCAGCACUAAACCCCUGCCGGUGGGGAAGAAACAUUCUGCAGAGGAAGGGCUUUCUGCAGAGCAAGGGCUUUCUGCAGGCUGGGGCUUCUCCUGGCAUGGGCCAAAUCCUCUCGCCUCUGCGCUGGUGAUAGCUAUGGGAAGGCAAGAGCAGGGGGCUCACCUGGGUGCGUAACUCCCUGCCUGGAUCAGUGAGUGGUGCGAAACCUUCCCUUCUUCCAUAAGAUGGGUCCCGUAUGCCGUCUUGCACACCAGAAGUGAUCCGCAGGCUGGGGAGAGAGAUGCCUUGCAUCCACCACUGCAAGAGAUGGACGUAACUGUGCCAGAAGUCCCUCCCUCUCUCUCGAUUUGGCAGUAUCACCUCCCAGGAAAGAACUGAGAAAUUGGCUGGUGCUGAGGAGCAGAGCUGAAAAGUCACAGAGCAAACCGAUAAACUGGACAGAAGCAAUCACCAGGGCCUGCAGCACUCGCCAGGGCUGCAACAAACUCAGGUAUCAUGUGGGCCCUGUUGUCUAAAUUUCUGUUCCAGAAGACUGGAAGCUGCCAAAUAUGACACCAGUUUUUAAAAAAUAGUGCCCUAGGAAACUAAGGGUUUGCGAAUCUGACCUCUGCGCCAAGCAAAUUGAUCAAUAUUGUAACAAAGGAUCAAAUGAAGAGGCUUGUGUAUAUGAACCUGGAAGAAGGUUAACACAGAUUUUUGCUGUGGAGGUGAUACCUCUCAAACGCAGCUAUCUGAAGGAAGAAAUGCGUGGGUAAAUAAGGGAGAAUCUCUUAAAGACAUGUCCUUGCUUUUCCAAAAGCUUCUGACAAGCUCCCUGACCAAAAGCUUGUAAGAAACUAGUUCAUCACAAUGUAAAAGUAAAUGUCAUCUCAGGAGUUAAGAACUGUCUGAGAAGCAGACUUCACAAAGCAGAGGAGCAACCCAGGGAAAUGAGCUGAAACAUAGCGGUGUAUUUUAAGUAAAGAGAUUUUGGAGGCAGUAUGGACAAAAAAGAAAGGAGGGGGAGCAAUUCUUAAGAAAAGGAACUAAUAACAAAGUGGGAAAUUUCAUUAAAAAGGUGUAUAAAGCUCAUGUCUGGGGUAUGGUAUGCAUUAGUGCUCACCACAUCUUUAAGAGUAUAUAGUAUAUUGGAGGCAGUACAGAGCAAGGCAACAGCAGCACAGCCCAUGAACCGGAGGGGUGGAAUAGGUUAGGACUCUUCCACCUGGAAAAAGAGUGACUGAAGGAAAAUAGGGCAGAAGAGAGCACUAUUUUGAACAGUCCGAGAUCUAAAGGACAACAGAUUGUCAGCCAGCCGGUUUAAAUCAAACUAAAGGAAAUACUUUCCCAUACAGGGUCCAAAAAGCAGAUAAAGCCGUGGAGGACAGAUUCAUCUGUAGCUCCUAACAGCAGCCGCUGGCCAUGAGACAGGACAGGAUGAGUGAGCUGGACCUUUCUGCCUCCUCCCUUAGCGGUUCUUAUAUUCUGAUGCUGCCUGGGCUUCUCUUGGCAUCUGAUCCUCAAGGACCGAUUUUGCUCGCGCAGGAGCCCCUGGCUGAACGCAGAGAGAUCUUGGUGCUGCUUGCGGGCUGGACUUCGGAUAUCCCGGCCCCUGCGAAACCUGAGGCCAUGCUGGGUUGGUAACAGCACGGGGAGCUGGCUGCAGGGUCAGAAUACCAGCCCCAGCCCCGUUCAUACCAGGAGGGAUUCCAGACACCCAAAACCAGCCCGUCAGAGACACGUUCGGGCCGUGCAGCUGAAAAGCAGGAGCCGGAGAAGACACGCAAGCAGGCUGGGCCAGGAGGGGUCACGUAUCCGGAGGCGGGGGGGGACACAAGCCUCUGGAUCAGUUGCCAGACAAAGGUGGGCAGCUUCAAGGGCUGCACCCUGCUCUGCUCCGGCAGACAAACUCGUAGUGCAGUUGGCCCAGGGGCAGCAGCUGCGUUAAUCCUGGCCCUGCUCUUUAUCUAAGGCCCCAUCAAUAAAAUCAGAUGGGCCAACGCUGUGUCUUGCACCCCUUCCCGUGCUUUCUGUUCCCCCGAGCUCUUCAAGGCAGAGAGCACGGCAUGGAGGGACUGGUCUGACUCUCUGGUUUUACCUGCUGCCAGGACAUUGCUGAAGAAGCCUGUGGCCAGCAGAGAUCCCUGGCUGAACCCAGAGCAAAACUCCGGGAGAGAUGUGGCCAGCCCAGCCCUGAGUGCAGCAAAGCAACCUGCUUCCCAAAAUUAAAACGCCGCCUGCUUUCAGAAACCUGCCUAAGGUGUGCGGAUCAAGCCACACCUCGAAAACCUUGCAGACAACCUGAAGUGGCUGCUGUCUUUCAUUUGGAGGCAGCUUUGCUAGACCUUGAAUCGUUCCUACGCCUCCUCCCUGCAUUUCCUCCAAGUUGUCAACGUCUGCUUUGAAACGCAGACAACAGACCUGCACCCAUAUUGCAGCAAUGGUCUUGCUCCCGCCACGCACAGAGAUAGGCUGCUUCCCCUCUAUUCACUGCUCCUUUGCUAAAGCCAGCAAGACUGUUUGCCUGCUAAGCCCCCUUUUGUCCUGGGAGCUUAUGCCCAGCUCAUGUUAUUUCCACAACCGCCUAAGGCCCUUUCAGCACUGCUGCUUUCCGAGGGAAAGACCCUGUCCUGUAAGUGUGACCCCCAUUCUUCCUUCCUAGAGGCAUUUGGCCAUGGUCAAUGCACGCCCCCCUAAGCCCAGGUUUCCAUGGAGUCCAGAGCAGUGGGGAAUGUACCUGGCUGUGUCGUUGCUUGUAACUCCAUCAGGCUUCGUCCCUCGUCCGGAGACACUGCCGGCAGUGAUUUGAUGGGUUUAUACAGUGCUUUCUUCCAAAUCACUGCUCGAGAUAUUGAACAGCAUCAGGCCGAGAACAGUUUCUGAAGACUUGGCAGCUAAGAAAAACGAAAUGCAUUGUUUUACGGCAGUCUAAGACUCUGUAUAUAAUAAACCCAGCCAUUCUUAGCGAGUGGCCUGGUCACCUCAGAAGGGAUGGAUUCAGGUUUGAAUGACCAGGUCACUCUCCUUUAGCAGUGUGCAAUAAUUGGGUACAGUUCCCACCGCUGCUGGUAGAAGCUGGACCUAAAUUUGGUCUGGUGGGACAUAUUGUGACCCCACAAAAAAUCCACUGUUUCUUUGUACAGGUUUGACCGUUUCCUCUCAGAAAGGAUGGAGCAGAACUAGAAAAGGUCCAGAAAAAGCUGCUGGGGAUGAUCAGAGGUAUGGAGUGGCUACACCAUGUGCCCAAACCUGGGCUAGCACGAGGAGCAGGCUGAUGCUGAGCAGAGGACUGGCUGAGGACACAUAUCUGAAAAGCCAGCACAGCACCGUAUGCCUUGAGAAUAGCCCGAAGGAAUGGUCUGAUGGCCACAGUCAUCCUGGCUGGCAGGACGGGUGCUUGAGGUCAAGGACUGAAGUCUCAUAUAGGUCUGGGACGUGUCUGGAAGCACGUCCCACCCCGAGCCAGCGCACACUGCCUGGUGGCUGCCAGACCCGUACCGGGCACCGGUGCAGAGGUGCCUGGCGUGCGUGACGAGGCAGGCCAGCCCUUCCCUGGUGGGGCUGCCAAGGCAGUUUGGGAACGGUGCCACCACCGCAAAGCAUGCUGCCAAUGUGUCACUGUUUGCUGAGGGCUUUCACCCGUCACCGGAGCCGUCCCUGACUCGGGCAACUCCUUGGAGCUGGGCAAGGAGCUGCCAUCCUGCCCACGCAGCCAGCCUGGGGCUGCCAUGCUUGGCUGAUUAUGAAUUUUGGGCAGCAGAGGUGGGACAGAAGGCAGCACAGACCUGGGAGCUGGGGAGACGGGACGGGUGGCUGCAAGCCUGAACGUCUUGGUUUGGAGAGGAAAGGUUCAGGCUCACGCAGAGCGGUUCCCCCUCUUCAGCGUGGCAGUGACUGGGGUCAGCCAGUAGCUUUGAGGGCUCAAAAGCUUCAGGAGGGAUCUGCUGUGGCUGGACCAGGGAGAUGAAAGGAGUCUCCUCCUUGCAACUAGGAGUCCUCACCUUGAUUUAGCCAGCUUCUAAGCUGUCCGUGCUUAAUGGACCCAAAGUGAAUGGCUGUUUGCUGGGGGAUGAGGAGCAGGCCAGGCUGCUGGACCAGUUUUGGAUCCUAUUCAUGAGAAGCUCUUUCUUGCUCUUUGCUAUGGUGUCAGCACCUGAAGGGCUGAGUUAGUGAUCCCAUGUGCAUGCAGCACGUGGCCCCAAAUGCUUCGAGAGCUCGCUACCUCCUUGAGCCAGCCCGGCCUGGUACCGCGCGGCUGCAGAACAGCCAGAUCUAAGUGUAACCCUCAACGCAGCUAGGACAAAUGCUGCUCCUGGAUCCCAAUGCGCUUUCGGGUGUGAAUGAAUGAAGUCGCCUUGCAAGUGCUGGGCAGAUACCGCCCAAACAAAUGACCACAAAUAUUCAAUUACA